rnacentral:rRNA from 1 species
AGCAGCCGCGGUAAUUCCAGCUCCAAUAGCGUAUAUUAAAGUUGUUGCAGUUAAAAAGCUCGUAGUUGAAUUUCGGGGUCAGUAGGUUGGUCGUGCCACUGGUAUGUACUGGUCUCACUGAUUCCUCCUUCCUGAUGAACCGUAAUGCCAUUAAUUUGGUGUUGCGGGGAAUCUGGACUGUUACUUUGAAAAAAUUAGAGUGUUUAAAGCAGGCUAACGCUUGAAUACAUUAGCAUGGAAUAAUGAAAUAGGACGAUCGAUCCUAUUUUGUUGGUUUCUAGGAUUGACGUAAUGAUUAAUAGGGAUAGUUGGGGGCAUUAGUAUUCAAUUGUCAGAGGUGAAAUUCUUGGAUUUAUUGAAGACUAACUACUGCGAAAGCAUUUGCCAAGGAUGUUUUCAUUAAUCAAGAACGAAAGUUAGGGGAUCGAAGACGAUCAGAUACCGUCGUAGUCUUAACCAUAAACUAUGCCGACUAGGAAUCGGAUGAUGUUAAUUUUUUAAUGACUCAUUCGGCGCCG